rnacentral:rRNA from 1 species
GACGAACGCUGGCGGCGUGCCUAAUACAUGCAAGUAGAACGCACAGUUUAUACCGUAGCUUGCUACACCAUAGACUGUGAGUUGCGAACGGGUGAGUAACGCGUAGGUAACCUGCCUGGUAGCGGGGGAUAACUAUUGGAAACGAUAGCUAAUACCGCAUAAUAUUAAUUAUUGCAUGAUAAUUAAUUGAAAGGUGCAAUUGCACCACUACCAGGUGGACCUGCGUUGUAUUAGCUAGUAGGUGAGGUAACGGCUCACCUAGGCGACGAUACAUAGCCGACCUGAGAGGGUGAUCGGCCACACUGGGGCUGAGACACGGCCCAGACUCCUACGGGAGGCAGCAGUAGGGAAUCUUCGGCAAUGGACGAAAGUCUGACCGAGCAACGCCGCGUGAGUGAAGAAGGUUUUCGGAUCGUAAAGCUCUGUUGUAAGAGAAGAACGGGUGUGAGAGUGGAAAGUUCACACUGUGACGGUAUCUUACCAGAAAGGGACGGCUAACUACGUG